rnacentral:rRNA from 1 species
GUCUGGUGCCAGCAGCCGCGGUAAUUCCAGCUCCAAUAGCGUAUAUUAAAGUUGUUGCAGUUAAAAAGCUCGUAGUUGAAUUUCGGGAUCAAUGUUUCGGUCAUGCCGUUGGUAUGUACUGAUAUUAUUGAUUUCUCACCUUCUAAAGAACCGUAAUGCCAUUAAUUUGGUGUCACGGGGAAUUAGGACUGUUACCUUGAAAAAAUUAGAGUGUUUAAAGCAGGCUCACGCUUGAAUACAUUAGCAUGGAAUAAUGAAAUAGGACAUCCGAUUCUAUUUUGUUGGUUUCUAGGAUCGAUGUAAUGAUUAAUAGGGAUAGUUGGGGGCAUUAGUAUUCAAUUGUCAGAGGUGAAAUUCUUGGAUUUAUUGAAGACUAACUACUGCGAAAGCAUUUGCCAAGGAUGUUUUCAUUAAUCAAGAACGAAAGUUAGGGGAUCGAAGACGAUCAGAUACCGUCGUAGUCUUAACCAUAAACUAUGCCGACUAGGGAUCGGAUGAUGUUAAUUUUUUAAUGACUCAUUCGGCGCCUUACGGGAAA